rnacentral:misc_RNA from 1 species
CCUGGGCUCCGCAAUUUGAGAAGUCAUUUCAUUGUUUGAAUCACAGGUGAACUAUUUCUGCAUUUACGCCAUUGCUUCUGAGGGCGUCAGCAACAACUUUCUGAAUUGAGCAAUGUCACUCUGUAACUCACCUUGCUCUCGUGGUUUUGAAAUUCUCCAUAGAAUGAACGAGACAUCAAGGGGAUAAAUUGAUGGUUUCUGAGUGAUGAAGAUGAUGUUGUCGCGGAGAAGUAGAAGG